rnacentral:rRNA from 1 species
AUGGGUUUGAUGAAUCACCAUAUCCAGAGAUUCGUCGACACAGCUUGUUGCCAGCUAAUCUUCAGUGUUGAAAGGCAUCAAGCUUCCAUGCGAUGGAUGGCUUUUGCAAACCCGACAUGCGGUGAUGUGUACCAAAUAACUGGAGUUAACCGAUGCAACUCCAAGAAGGAUUGGCUGGUGCUGCCGGCUGGCGUCAAGUUCGAUCCCACGGAUCAGGAGCUGAUCGAGCACCUUGAGGCGAAAGUGAGUGCUGACAGCGCGAGAUCUCACCGUCUCAUCGAUUUGUUCAUACCAACAAUCAACAUCGAGCACGGCAUAUGCUACACCCAUCUUGAGAAACUUCCAGGUAUCACACUGAGUGGCCUAAGCAAGCAGUUCUUCCAGUGCAAUUCCAGGGCGUUCAAAAGGGGCACGUGGACGCGUCGCAAGAUACAGUCCGAGUGCAGCAUGCACGCGAUGUGGCACAAGACCGGCAAUACCUUGCCGGUGAUGGUCAAUGGCCGGCAGACGAGCAGCAAAAAGGUUCUGGUGCUGCACACCAACAAGAACUUCGACCAUUCCCGCAAAGAAAAGAACUUCGACCAGCAGAGGACCAACUGGGUGAUGCACCAGUACCACCUCGGGGACCCGGAGCAAGAGAAGGAGUGGGAGCUGGUCUUUUGCAAGAUUUUCUACCAGACGAACACUAGGGCCAGGACUAAAAAGAUUAUAAGUCGAGCAAGUUUCAAUUGGGCUGUAGACUACCCAGGCUUGGUUUUGUUUUCAACAUGCCUAGCCCAUGACGACAACAGGCACAAAGAUCCAGCAGGUAUCUACUGGCCUCUGGCCCGCCAGCGUUAG